GUGACCAGCACAAAGGGAAAGAGGAAGGGCACUUGCUAUAUGUUCUCUAGGCCUGUUAGGAAACAUAGAGCUGUUUCUUUGACCACACACAUGAGAAUCUACAAAAAAGGUGAUAUUGUAGACAUCAAGGGAAUGGAUACUGUUCAAAAAGGAGUGCCCAUAAGUGUUACCACGGCAAAACCAUAAAAGUCUACAAUGUCACCCAGCAUUUGGUAGGCAUCAUUAUAAACAAGUUUAAGGGCAAGACUCUGGCCAUGGGGAUCAAUGUGUGGAUUGAGCACAUCAGGCACUUGAAGCAGAUAAAGGAAAAGGCUCAGAAGAAAAGGGAAGCCAAAGAGAAGAGCACCAGCCUGGGCCACUCAGAGAGGCACAUUUUGUGAGUGCUUAUAGCAAGGAGCCUGAGCUGUUGGAGCCCAUCCAUAAAAAUUCACAGCCUAA
rnacentral:lncRNA from 1 species